rnacentral:rRNA from 1 species
CCUGUGAGGGUUGCUGGAGGUAUCAGAAGUGCGAAUGCUGACAUAAGUAACGAUAAAGCGGGUGAAAAGCCCGCUCGCCGGAAGACCAAGGGUUCCUGUCCAACGUUAAUCGGGGCAGGGUGAGUCGACCCCUAAGGCGAGGCCGAAAGGCGUAGUCGAUGGGAAACAGGUUAAUAUUCCUGUACUUGGUGUUACUGCGAAGGGGGGACGGAGAAGGCUAUGUUAGCCGGGCGACGGUUGUCCCGGUUUAAGCAUGUAGGCUGGUUGUCCAGGCAAAUCCGGAUAAUCAAGGCUGAGGUGUGAUGACGAGGCACUACGGUGCUGAAGUAACAAAUGCCCUGCUUCCAGGAAAAGCCUCUAAGCAUCAGGUAACAUCAAAUCGUACCCCAAACCGACACAGGUGGUCAGGUAGAGAAUACCAAGGCGCUUGAGAGAACUCGGGUGAAGGAACUAGGCAAAAUGGUGCCGUAACUUCGGGAGAAGGCACGCUGGUGUGUAGGUGAAGCCCCUGCGGGUGGAGCUGAGACCAGUCGAAGAUACCAGCUGGCUGCAACUGUUUAUUAAAAACACAGCACUGUGCAAACACGAAAGUGGACGUAUACGGUGUGACGCCUGCCCGGUGCCGGAAGGUUAAUUGAUGGGGUUAUCCGUAAGGAGAAGCUCUUGAUCGAAGCCCCGGUAAACGGCGGCCGUAACUAUAACGGUCCUAAGGUAGCGAAAUUCCUUGUCGGGUAAGUUCCGACCUGCACGAAUGGCGUAAUGAUGGCCAGGCUGUCUCCACCCGAGACUCAGUGAAAUUGAACUCGCUGUGAAGAUGCAGUGUACCCGCGGCAAGACGGAAAGACCCCGUGAACCUUUACUAUAGCUUGACACUGAACAUUGAGCCUUGAUGUGUAGGAUAGGUGGGAGGCUUUGAAGCGUGGACGCCAGUCUGCGUGGAGCCAACCUUGAAAUACCACCCUUUAAUGUUUGAUGUUCUAACGUUGGCCCCUUACCGGGGUUGCGGACAGUGUCUGGUGGGUAGUUUGACUGGGGCGGUCUCCUCCCAAAGCGUAACGGAGGAGCACGAAGGUUAGCUAAUCCUGGUCGGACAUCAGGAGGUUAGUGCAAUGGCAUAAGCUAGCUUGACUGCGAGCGUGACGGCGCGAGCAGGUGCGAAAGCAGGUCAUAGUGAUCCGGUGGUUCUGAAUGGAAGGGCCAUCGCUCAACGGAUAAAAGGUACUCCGGGGAUAACAGGCUGAUACCGCCCAAGAGUUCAUAUCGACGGCGGUGUUUGGCACCUCGAUGUCGGCUCAUCACAUCCUGGGGCUGAAGUAGGUCCCAAGGGUAUGGCUGUUCGCCAUUUAAAGUGGUACGCGAGCUGGGUUUAGAACGUCGUGAGACAGUUCGGUCCCUAUCUGCCGUGGGCGCUGGAGAAUUGAGGGGGGCUGCUCCUAGUACGAGAGGACCGGAGUGGACGCAUCACUGGUGUUCGGGUUGUCAUGCCAAUGGCACUGCCCGGUAGCUAAAUGCGGAAGAGAUAAGUGCUGAAAGCAUCUAAGCACGAAACUUGCCCCGAGAUGAGUUCUCCCUGAGACUU